rnacentral:rRNA from 1 species
AACGCUAGCUACAGGCUUAACACAUGCAAGUCGAGGGGCAGCAUGGUCUUAGCUUGCUAAGGCUGAUGGCGACCGGCGCACGGGUGAGUAACACGUAUCCAACCUGCCGUCUACUCUUGGCCAGCCUUCUGAAAGGAAGAUUAAUCCAGGAUGGGAUCAUGAGUUCACAUGUCCGCAUGAUUAAAGGUAUUUUCCGGUAGACGAUGGGGAUGCGUUCCAUUAGAUAGUAGGCGGGGUAACGGCCCACCUAGUCAACGAUGGAUAGGGGUUCUGAGAGGAAGGUCCCCCUCAUUGGAACUGAGACACGGUCCAAACUCCUACGGGAGGCAGCAGUGAGGAAUAUUGGUCAAUGGGCGAUGGCCUGAACCAGCCAAGUAGCGUGAAGGAUGACUGCCCUAUGGGUUGUAAACUUCUUUUAUAAAGGAAUAAAGUCGGGUAUGCAUACCCGUUUGCAUGUACUUUAUGAAUAAGGAUCGGCUAACUCCGUGCCAGCAGCCGCGGUAAUACGGAGGAUCCGAGCGUUAUCCGGAUUUAUUGGGUUUAAAGGGAGCGUAGAUGGAUGUUUAAGUCAGUUGUGAAAGUUUGCGGCUCAACCGUAAAAUUGCAGUUGAUACUGGAUGUCUUGAGUGCAGUUGAGGCAGGCGGAAUUCGUGGUGUAGCGGUGAAAUGCUUAGAUAUCACGAAGAGCUCCGAUUG